rnacentral:snoRNA from 1 species
UCCUGUAUCGAAAGUGAUCAUGGCGUCCUGUCACCAGGUCAUUGAUAGUACAGGAAUAAGAACCUGUGAGCUUUUCCCGUGUUUGAAGGAUCAACUGUUCCUCUCAGACCCUGAUGCUCUCAGACA